rnacentral:lncRNA from 1 species
UUUUGAGGCAAAACCUUGUCAAAUUGCUCAAAAUAUAGCUCAAGACACAACCACUAGUAAAUCGGGUCACUUCCUACCCUUAGAUUGCAUGUGUUGACAUCAAAAUCCAAUAUCUCCUUCAUCCCAACUUCGAAUCUAGCAAGCAGUGUACAAAAAGUGUAGUCGCAUAAGUACUCUCUUUAGUCGCGGUUGCCGAUCCUCAAUUGCCCUCCGUAUGUGUGCAUUAUGUCAAAAAAAGUGACAAUAGCUUCCAAAUCAAUACCUUAACUUUGAGUGCCUAUAUCUCCUUCAAAUAAAUUCCAAAUCAUACAAGAUUUGUACCAAAUCCAUAGCCAAAAACCUAAACUUGCUGACCUUAAUCUUCAAAGCUCAAAUGGUCCUGAAAAACUAACCCUAAUCUCUAAUAUGGCUUCGGGCAGCCUCCUCAAAGCCCAUUGGUCAUGAUUUUUGACUAAUAGGAAUGGAGAUUUUCAUCAUCCAUCUCCAUUCAUCUAUAUGGAUGCCCUAUACUCUCUUUUUGCUACCAAAAUCCUUCUCCAACUCUUUUCUUUACAAGAUUUACUUAAUAUAUGCC